CAAAAUGUAGCUUAAUAAAAGCCCCUCGCUUACACCGAAACGUCAUCUGUUAGACUCAGAUCAUUUUGAC
rnacentral:tRNA from 1 species